rnacentral:ncRNA from 2 species
UACGGAGGAUCCAAGCGUUAUCCGGAAUUACUGGGCGUAAAGAGUUGCGUAGGUGGCAUAGUAAGCAGGUAGUGAAAUCGUGUGGCUCAACCAUACUCACAUUAUCUGAACUGCUAAGCUAGAGUAUAUGAGAGGUAGUUGGAAUUCCUUGUGUAGGAGUGGAAUCCGUAGAUAUAAGGAGGAACACCGAUGGCGUAGGCAGACUACUGGCAUAUUACUGACACUAAGGCACGAAAGCGUGGGGAGCGAACAGG